CCGACGUGGACAUCCAGUGAGGGUCUCUCUGGCUCUGUCCUGGUGGCGUAUGGGAGCGUAGCUUUGAGCUCAGACGUACAGUCCCCUUCCACAACGUCGGACAUGAAGCUCCGUCCCCGGCUGCCGCUGGUGAGGACGAGCGUCCUGCAUAUUCCUACAUCUUCCCAUAGUCCUUUGGGGCCGUUACUGGGGAGCUAAACCAUGCAGUGCACAAAC
ensembl:snoRNA SNORA73 Small nucleolar RNA SNORA73 family